rnacentral:rRNA from 1 species
GACAGAGGGUGCAAACGUUGCUCGGAAUCACUGGGCGUAAAGCGCGUGUAGGCGGCCAAUCAAGUCAGGUGUGAAAUCCCCGGGCUCAACCUGGGAACUGCAUCUGAAACUGGUUGUCUUGAGUGUCGGAGAGGGAAGCGGAAUUCCUGGUGUAGAGGUGAAAUUCGUAGAUAUCAGGAGGAACACCGGUGGCGAAGGCGGCUUCCUGGACGACAACUGACGCUGAGACGCGAAAGUGUGGGUAGCAAACAGG